GUAGGCCAUUUCCUAUAGCUGAUGAGCUCCUAGAAGAGCAAAACAAGUUAGAUCCUUUAUUACUGGCCUAGUGAACU
rnacentral:hammerhead_ribozyme from 2 species